rnacentral:rRNA from 1 species
GUCGAGAAUCUUUCACAAUGGGGGCAACCCUGAUGGAGCGACGCCGCGUGGAGGAUAAGGUCUUCGGAUUGUAAACUCCUGUCAUGCGUGAACAAGGUUGCUUGGUUAAUACCUGGGCAAAUUGAUGGUAACGCAAGAGGAAGAGACGGCUAACUCUGUGCCAGCAGCCGCGGUAAUACAGAGGUCUCAAGCGUUGUUCGGAAUCACUGGGCGUAAAGGGUGCGUAGGUGGCGUGGUAAGUCAGAUGUGAAAGCCCGGGGCUCAACCUCGGAACUGCAUCAGAUACUGCCAUGCUAGAGUACUGGGGAGGUGAGUAGAAUUCUCGGUGUAGCAGUGAAAUACGUAGAUAUCGAGAGGAAAACCAAAGGCGUAGGCAGGUCACUGGACAGUUACUGACACUGAGGCACGAAGGCCAGGGGAGCGAACGGGAUUAGAUACCCGAGUAGUCC